GAUGAACGCUGGCGGCGUGCCUAAUACAUGCAAGUAGAACGCUGAAGGAGGAGCUUGCUCUUCUGGAUGAGUUGCGAACGGGUGAGUAACGCGUAGGUAACCUGCCUGGUAGCGGGGGAUAACUAUUGGAAACGAUAGCUAAUACCGCAUGACAACAGUUAUUGCAUGAUAACUGUUUAAAAGGGGCAACUGCUCCACUACCAGAUGGACCUUCGUUGUAUUAGCUAGUUGGUGAGGUAACGGCUCACCAUGGCGACGAUACAUAGCCGACCUGAGAGGGUGAUCGGCCACACUGGGACUGAGACACGGCCCAGACUCCUACGGGAGGCAGCAGUAGGGAAUCUUCGGCAAUGGACGGAAGUCUGAACGAGCAACGCCGCGUGAGUGAAGAAGGUUUUCGGAUCGUAAAGCUCUGUUGUAAGAGAAGAACGAGUGUGAGAGUGGAAAGUUCACAAUGUGACGGUAACUUACCAGAAAGGGACGGCUAACUACGUG
rnacentral:rRNA from 1 species